CAAUAGCGUAUAUUUAAGUUGUUGCAGUUAAAAAGCUCGUAGUUGGAUUUCGGAUGGGAUUUGCCGGUCCGUCGUUACGAUGUGCACUGGCCAGUCCUAUCUUGUUGUCGGGGACUAGCUCCUUGGAUUCACUUCCUGGGACUAGGAGCUGACGAGGUUACUUUGAGUAAAUUAGAGUGUUCAAAGCAAGUCUACGCUCUGAAUACAUUAGCAUGGAAUAACACGAUAGGACUCUGGCUUAUCUUGUUGGUCUGUGAGACCAGAGUAAUGAUUAAGAGGGACAGUCGGGGACAUUCGUAUUUCAUUGUCAGAGGUGAAAUUCUUGGAUUUAUGAAAGACGAACUUCUGCGAAAGCAUUUGUCAAGGAUGUUUUCAUUGA
rnacentral:rRNA from 1 species